rnacentral:hammerhead_ribozyme from 1 species
ACCAGCUGAUGAAUCCCAAAUAGGACGAAACAAGUGUUCUAGAU